UUUUUUUUUUUUUUUUUGGCCAACUUCAACUGUUAUAUAUGUAGUUAAACCAGUUGAACCAUCCAGUUUUGUGAGAACCACCCGGUUCAAUAUCCAAUCUUAAUUAAGUCAACAAUUUUGAAUUUGGUCAACUAAUCUCAUUAAUAACAUUCCAAAUUUAAUAAUUUACCAAUUAACCAUGCGUAAUUAUCUCCAAUUAAUUACACAAUAACAAUUAUUGCCUUAUUCUACUCAUUUCUCUCUCUCCUCCAUAAUUACAUAUUAACUCUUAUUUAACAUUUAUAACAUAAAUUGACUAUAUUAGUUUUUUAAAAUCUUGAAUACAUUUCAUUUAUUUGUUAAUGCCUUUUAAGUGUUUCAAUUUUUAUGAAAUAAACUAGUACUCAUAUAAUUUAGGAAAAUUAAAAAUACAUGAAAUAAUACUAUUUAAAAUCCUUAACUAAUAAAAGCAAUAUUUGAGUCUCAAACAAAUAAUGCUACUUAGAAUAAUAGAAUGAGAAUUGAAGUGAUUACACUUAACAAUAUCACUUAAGAUUCUACAAAUAUUUGUUUGACCCAUUCAUUUUUCUAGGUCAAUUAACGUUCAAAACCUUUCUCAAAAUCAUUAAAGCUAUGUUGAACUUUUUAUAAUAUAUAGGACCUCCUCUUGGAGACCGUAUAUAACUUGUACAUCGUUACACUAACAAUUGAGUCUGGAUUGUGAUGCUGGCAAUUGUGGUCCAUAAUACAACCUUUAUAAGAAUGUUAUACAUACAUACAUAAAUACAUAUAUAUAUACAUAUAUAUACAUACACACACCCCCACAUCCAUACACACAUACAUACAUGCAUAUAUAUAUGGAUGUAUGUACAUAUAUAUGUGUGUAUAUGUAUGUAUAUAUGUAUGUAUGUAUAUUUUGUUCUUUAGAAAAGGUAUCAUAGUUUUUUUCUUUUUUAUUUUUGGGACUUUUAUUAGGCUCUUUCUUUUUCUUUCUUUCAAGCAAAGUGGGGAGAGAUGACUUACCCACAGCAUUCUUCUUCGAUAUAGGAGAACAAUAGACUUUUCUUUGAGUUGGACAGGGUUUCAACUCAACCAACUACUACUAGACUAGUUGGCCACCAGAGAUAGAAUUUAAUUUCUCCUUGAUUGUAGGUCAAGAGAUCAAAUUCUUUGAUUGGUAUUCUUCUCCAAGAUUUCUCGAAAUUUUCAUCCAUGGGUAUAGAGGCACCCGUCUAGUCUGGUGGCAAUUCAGUCCCCUUUGACUACCCCACUAAUCAUUUUGGAUCCACGCUUUCGCCCUAAAAUAAAGUAGAAAUAGAUAUAGAAUAGAAAUUAUCUGGUCAACAAAAAAAAAGGACAGGUUUCAACUAAAAUCCAAUGAGUCUGUUAGGCUACGAUAUUUGCGAAAAAAAAUAAAUAUUGUUUAAUUUCAUAUAGAAUUUUUAACCAUCUUUUUAUCUUACAUGUAUCAUACCAUUAAAAGUGCUACAAUGCUAUAAUUCUUUAUUGAUUAUUUGGACUACGAAAUUCUUUUCUCAUGUUUGCUGAGAGAAAUGAGACAUGAGACUUUAGUCUUCAUUCUUCUGUUGAACUUAUACGUUUUAGGCUUUUAGUGAAGCACUUCUUUCAGGUAAAAUAAAUUUCACUAAAGCAUUUAAAUAAUUAUAGAAAACUAUUGUUCUCUUGAAUUUGGAUCAUAAAAUAUUUAAAGGUCAGACAUAUUGAUUCCUAUGUUGUUGAACCUCAAAGUAAUUAUCAAAGAAACUUUCGCAACAAUAUCCUACCAAGAGAUUCAUCAUCCAGGCUAUAUUGCAUUUUGAAAAUCAUACCUUUCCAAGCCUACAAAAAUCACAAUAUUACAUAUAAUCAGUUAACUUCUAGUUUUCGUGAAGUAUGUAUAGUCCGUGUUCGACCCAUUUCUUUGACAAAGAAAACAAAAAUUAUACUAGUAAAAGAAAUGACCAUAUGAAAGAAACAGCAAUAACACUAGAUUCAAACGUAUGAAAUCCUUCGUGGACUGAAAUUGCAAAUACCCUUUUCCCUUGAUGACCAAGACCGACUUAUUUACAACGGAUUCAAUUCCGCAGUUGCUUAACUCGAGCUGAAUUCGAGUAGCUUUAUGAAUUUUCAAAUGAAACUCAAGAAUAAUAAUAGUCUACUCAAAAUCAAUAAAAUUGUGUUGAACUUGUUAUAUAGGAUUAAUUCCAUUUUAUCUCUUUAAACUAUACACGAAAUCUCACUUCAAUCUCUUUAAAAUUAAACACUUAAAUUUUUAAACUAUAAAAUACGUCCAACUUAAGUUCCGUUGGUGACGGAAUCUUGAAAAGUAACAAAAAUGUUUUGGGAGCGUGGACACCACGCUCCAUUAGUGUGGUUGUGUAAUUAUUAUAAAUUUAAAAAGGGACAUAAAGGUAAUUUCACCAUUUUAUUCCCUCUCCUUCAUCCUUUCUCCUUUCUCCUUUCUUUUCUAAUUCUUCUUCUUCCCUAAUAUCUCCUCCCUCAACUUUUCCGGCCAAUAUCUCCGUCCUCAACUUUUCCACCAAUACCGUGCACUCCUCCAACAGCGCCGCCACUACGGCCAUCAAUAUCAUACUAGUAUUAAUAGUUAUUUCGUGUACUAUAUUGCUAAACAACUAGGAGUAGUAUAUUAUUAUUACCCAAAGAUCUUAAGAUGGGAGUAGUCUAGAUUAUGAGAGAGAUUUGGAACUAGAAGUGGAAGUAGCAGACGAGCAAGAACUUAAUUCCAACUGAGAAUUGCGACUAUUUUUUGUGAAAUUCCGUCCAUGGCUCCACCCGCUAACCAUAGUUAGCAAUAGUGAUGGAAUCUAGUUGGACACAACCAUGGUUAGCAAUAGUGAUGGCAGCAUCUAAUGGCUUUCAUGGUUUGGGAAGAUCGCGGAGAAGGGAAUAGCACCAUCUACGCUAUGACCGUUGAGAAAAAUCUGAAGAAGAAUCUAGUGUUGUGCUCCUAGGAAAGAGGAAAGAAGAACACGAGUUUCUUUAACUUUUGAUGACGUGCUUCUGGGGAAGAAGGAAACGAAGGAGGAAGAGGACAGAAGAAAUAAAAGGGAAAAAAAAAAAAGGAGAAGAAAAGAAAUAUUUUGCUUAAGUACAAAUUUUUAAGGUUUUUCUUUUGGAUCUCAUGAAAUUUCAUUUAUAUCCCUAUUAGAUUUGGUUUACAUUAAUUGCAGUAAUAAGCUAACGGAAUUGGCAACCAUUCUGUUAGGUAUUGUGCAUUCAGUCAAAAACCAGAGUAAAGUGGGACGAAUUUUAUAAUUUAGGAGUUUAAAUGUUCCAUUUCGAAACUUAAGAACUGAAGUGGAAUUUCAGUGUACAUGGGAUAAAAUGGAAUUAACCCAAAAACCUUCUCGUGUAGACUGGGUAUUACUUUACAUCAUUAUAUAGACAAUUGAGUUUAAAUUGUUACGCUGACAACCACGGUCCAUAAUUAGGACUGCAAACGAAUCGAGUCGCGCUCGCAAGUGGCUCGAGUCAAGCUCGAGUCGAAAUCGAGUUUGAACUCGAACCCAAAAUAUUAAACUCCCAACUCGCGAGUUCGAGUAUAUAUAUAUAAUAUUUUUUAUUUUUUAAUUUUAAGUAUAUAUUUUUUAUUUUAAGUAUAUAUAUUUUUAUUUUCUUAUUUUAAUAGUAAAAUUAUAUAUAUAUCCUUAAUAUUUUAUUAUUUAUUAAGAAAAAAAUAUUAUUUUAUUUAUUUUUAAAAAAAUAAAAUAAUUAUUUUUUUUUUUGAGCUCGAGCUUUAAAUUGCCGACUCGUCGAGUUCAAGCUCGAGUUCGAACUUGAUAAAAUUUAGUCGAGACUCGACUCGAUUAACCCAAAACUCGACUCGACUCGACUCGACUCGUUUGCAGCCCUAUCUAUAAUAGAACUUUUAUAAGAACAUUAUACAUGCAUACAUGUAUUAUACACAUAUAUAUGUAUAUAUUUGUAGAGUAAGUUUUUUUUAUGUACUAAUAGUGUAUACAUUAUUACGGUUGGAUACACGAGACAUAUGUAAAAUUUGAUUUUUAAAUUAAAAUUUAGAUUAUAUUUCAUAUAUUCAAAAAUAAAAAUAUAUACACUUUUAGUGUAUACAAAAUUAAUUCAUAUAUGUAUGUAUGUAUAUAAGUGGUGGACUAAGUUCAUCCGCCAAUUGGAUUUGGACAAAUUUAAGUCAAGCACAAAUGGAGGUCCAAACGGGAGUCACGAGUCUGCCCAUUUGCAGCGCUAUUAAUAAUGAAUAAUUCAAAAGUCGUUAGCAGAGGAGAUCAAUUAUUUUGAAGUUAAUUUCAGUUCACUACCACUAUAAAUAUAUAUAUAAACUAAAAUUCAAAACUUUACAGCCAUUUCCAAGAUCCUAAAUGGCCACUCAACAUCUACAACACCACCGUGGAGGCAGCAGCACCGCCGCUGGCGCCGGCGGAAGCAAUAUCGACGAUGCUAUCGGAAUAGACCUUCUCCACAACAUCAUCUCCCGGCUUCCGGCUACGUCCUUCGCCUCCGCCGCCUGCGUUAAUCGCUCCUGGAAUUCUAUCUGCUCAAGAAUUCUCUCUUACCCUAAACUCUCCUCCGCCAUCUCUCUCAAUCCUUCUCUUGAGGUAAUUUACAGAGAAAAUUUUCAAUUUUGUAUUUACUGUUAUGGGUUAAUUUGUUCGUAUUUAAGUUGGUUUAAGUUUUGCAGGAGGCUGUGAAUGAGGUGGUGGAGAAAGUGUUGUCGGUGCCGAUUCGGCCGCAAUUUGUGAUUGCAUCAAUUGGCCCUUCGUUUACCUUGCCUCGUGCCCACCAACUCGUAUGUGGAGUAACUGUUUCUCCUUCUAUGAUUUGGGGAUUUUUUUUUAUUGUUAUUGAUUAAGGCAAUGUACAAGCAUGUUUGCUUGCGGUACUUCAUUUCCUUGCACCAUUUCAUGCACAUUUGAACGAUGAUUUCUUGUUACUUGGUAUCAAGUGGAUGUAUCUGAACGAUGCUCGGAUUUCAUUAGUGAAAAGGGCCGAAGCAAAAAUUGAAUGGAUAAAGAAAAAAUGUGCUUUAGUACUUCGCCACCUAUUUGGCUGGGAUUAUUGUCUAUGGCUAAUGGUAAAUUUGUUUAAAAGCCUUGUUGUUCGGUUUGUCUAUUGUUUUCUUGCUGGAAGUACAAAUGUACUCGGUAUGGCAAACUAAGGUUGUAUUGUUUUGCAGAUCACUGCGAGGUUUGGUUCAGGAGUUCCUGUAAUUACAUCCCUUUCUGAUGGAAUUAUUGGGAGAGAUGCACUCACCAGUGAGUUUAAAGAGGUAAGUAUAUGAACUAUUUCUGCUUUUUUAUGCUUGACAGAUGAUGCUAUGGCUGAGGUUUUCUCAUAUUUGUGGUGUUAAAAAUGUUGGAGCAGGUUCAAUGGGAACUAAUGGAGGAUGAUGAAGAUCUUGAUGGUCAUGGAAAUCUUUUACCAAAUCAAGGAAUUGUGCUAACUGUUGGUCAUUUACCGGAUAUGAGAGCCACUAUGAUUCCAUUAUUAUCCCAAGAUGAGGUAAAAUGUAAAGCUUGGUGCAUGAUGGGGUUAAUAAGUUUCUUGGGACAUUGAACCACAUUUAUUUAUGUUAAACACAAAAAAUUCUAUGAGCUAGACAUUGUCUUUUGAUUUUUUACCUUGUAAAAUGCGGUAUGCUGGGGAGUAAGCUUCUCUAGACUGCACAAUCAAUAGAAUUAGGAACUGCAGAUGGUAAUAGUUUCUAGAAGUGUAUGGUGUAUUUUGGCAUAGUAAUAGCACAUAUGGGUCGUUUUAAUACCAUGAUCACAAUUUGAUAGUAUAUAAAGCUUGAUUAAGUGUUUCCUGGUGACAUAAUUGAUAAAGAUCUUGCAUUAAUUCCUUUAUUAUGUUAAGUUAGAUUAGUUGGGCAGUAGACUGGGACUCUUCUGCUAAUUUAGUGUCCUUUGCAUGAAGUGAUAUUAAUUUUUUUUCUGAUGAUGAAUUAGGAACCCCUCAUGAUUGAUGAAUUUGUGAUGGAUAUAAGGGAGUAUGCAUCUCUUGUUUCUGGAUCUACAUCCCCUGCUGCAAUCAUAUUGUUUUCUGUAAGUCAUUUUGAUGUUGCAUUAUUGUGUUCAAUUUUGAUUCAUUGCAAUCACUUUGAGAAAUUAAAUGUGUUUCUUAGAGCUUUCUCAGGUUUCCAACUGGCCACUUGGGACAUAUUAUUUGUCAAUAAAGUCCUUUAUCUAUUGCAUCACUGACAUUCUUCUUUGACAUAUUCUAUUUGGGGACAUGGAACAUGAGAUAUAGAUGGAUUUGUACAUCUAGGUAAUGUUAUACAUCCUAGUGUAGUUUAAGGAGUGAGUGAAACGUAUGGUGGUCAAGGGCAUUUAGGAAAUUUCUGGAAAAGUAUAUUGGGCCAUUUGGCUAUUUUGUGCUUUAUUGAAUUGUUUUUUCCUCUUGACUGUAUAUCUAACAUGGGAAAAUGCAUGGUUUGCUAGGAUCUCAAAACUGACAUGAGACCUGUUCUUCAAAAGUUUGGUGAGUACUGAAUGCACUGAACUGUAAAUCAUGACUUUCGUACAAUCUAACAUGUUCUCCUUUGCUUUAGUAAAAAAAUGUUUGAGGAAGGUUAUUAUUCAUAUUCAAAAAAUUGCUUGGUUGAGAGGACAUACCAAUGAAGUUUCUACUUUCCUGAAAUGACAAAAUAGAUUGGAAAUGCUACUGAUGUUCCAUACACUAGAUAACCACCACCACCAUGACUGACCCCCGGCCCUCUCCAUGUCCUCUCUUGAGAUUUUAUUUUCUUAAAAUGGGGGAAAAAUGAAGAAAAAGAAAAAGAGAACAAGUGGCUUCACUAAUUGAGGUUCUCUUGAAAUUGCAACUAACUAAGCUAGUGGGUUUUACUUUCUUCAACCUCUUUAUGUUAUGGAGCUUAAGGAAGAUGCAUUCUUAAUAUAUUAGUUCCUAACUUGCUGCAUGUUCUUAUUUUGCUUCAGAAAUUCAAAUUUGCUUUCUACAUUUUGUGUCUAAUUUUGGUCUUCUAUUUGUAGAUUAUACAUUUUCCUUUGAGACUGUAGUUGUUGGGGAAGGGGCGGCCGAUACUUCUACAGGAGUGAUUGGGAUAAAAACACCACCAUGAAGCAAGAUGGUAAUCCUGCUGUCGUGGCUCUUCUGUUCGUCAAGGAUAGACAUAAGCCCCCUGGUACUUAAUUUUUUCAUCUGAUCCUCGUAUGGAAUGUUUUCUAAUCUAUAUUUGACAUGGAUUACACUCUUCUGUGCAACAGAUAAAGUUUCUCAGAGUAUCCAUUAGAAAAUGAAAAUGCAAAUAUGUCUGCUGAAUACUUAUCUGGAUAUAAAAGCUGCAGUUAAUUAGACAUUGAUCCAUGUACUAUAGGUCUGACAGAAUAUGAUUACGAAACAUUUGAGAAGGUGGCUCUGUGGUAUGGCAAAAUGAUAGUAGAUGUCUAUCAAGUUAUGCUGGUUGACUUUUGAAGGAAGCUUGUAAGCAUGACAGUUUGCAGUAUUGCAUGCUUUUUCCAAUAUUUUUUGUCCUGUGUUCAUCUGUUUCCAGUGGCUUUAAGCUAUUUCUUAGUCAUUUCUUUUUAUUGUUUGUGCAUUUCUUUGUCUGUUAGAUCUAGGAGUGUCCUUGUGGAAAUUUAAUAUCUGUGUUAGUAGGGAUACCAUUGCCUUUUCUGUUUGUGAUGGUUUACUUCAUUCUUACAUGAUAUUGAUUGUUUAAAAGCCUAUCAGUUCAUUAUGAGUCAAGAUUGUUGCUAUUAAAAUCGCUUUUGAUUUGAAUUGUGUGAGCAGGCAUUGGGGAAACUAAGUUUCAUGCUACAUUAUCAACCGGCUUACAUCCUGUUGGCGCAGUUUACAAGGCGGCUUCGUUAGAGAAGAAAAGAAUGAGCGUUCGACGUGGUUGACUGCAAGAAGAGAAGCAACUAGCGUGCAUCUUGAUGGCCAAUCUAUUUUAGAUAACGUGUACAAUGAGGUAUGCUAGCCUACCUCACAUUACUGAUGAUCACUCAGGUUUUUUUCAGUAGUCGUUUAAGAUACAGAUGUUUUAAAUUUUUGAAGGUUGUAGGGUUUAGUAAUGGACAUAUUGGUGCUCCCAGUUAUAUCAGAUUGUUAACGUUGUACAUAUAUUUCAGUGACAAAUAUUGUUGAUGCUCCAAAAUCCUUAGACCUGUAAUGAUGCUGCCAUUGCAUUGUUUUGAAUUUGUUUCUAAGCUAUUGAGCAAUGUUUUGGCCUUUGAAACAGAACCUAGAAAGAAGAUUACCAUGCUAAACUGAUGUCUCUUUGGCAUGUUUAUUUGUUUUACAAUCCAUAGUGGGAUUUAAUCUAUUUGACAGAAUUAGUGAUUGUACUUAGGGUAAGGAUGAUGAGGUAGCAUACCACAUAAUUACGAAAGAUGUGGUCAGUUCUGUUUAAGUAAGGGCAUCAUUCUACAUUGGAGAGAAAGAUGGGUGGUGAUCGCCAAGUCCUUUUAGUUUCAAAAGAUGCCUUUAUCAAGUUUAACUUUGCUGGUUAUUUCUUGGUAGAAGCAGCAUGAAGAUGGUUUCAAGUUUUUGGAUUUCUUCAUAGUGUUCAUUGAUAUAAUUUUUGGCUUUUGGGUCCAUAAGCAGGAUCCUAACUCUUCGCAUUCGAUACUUCCUAAAUAUGUUUGGCUGAAGCAAUGACUGUAUUGGUUUCACUUCUCAGAUAAUAUUCUUUAUUGUUGAAAUCUUUGAAGUUCUGAUUCAAUAGUUACUCUAUUGUUGAAAAGCUAAGUUUGCAAUCUUUAUUGAUCAUUCUUUUAAUGCUUAACAUAGCAUCUAGGUGGAUGCUAUGAUUCUGGUUUUCUCUUGACUCAGGAGUCAGCAGAAGACUUUUCCUGCAUCUUAAUUUACUUUGUUCAGCCUAACAGGAUAUAGCUUGGUAGGAGUUGAAAUAUGGAAUCUGCUUUCCCUAAACCAAAUCCUUUCUAGCAGAUUGGAGAUCGUAUCCAACAUCUAGCUCUCUACAUUGGGGUUAACAAAAGACGAAAAUGCUCCAUUGGAUUGAAGAAAGCAAGAUGGAUGAUGUUUCUUGAGUUUCAUGAAGUAAUAGGGUGAGUUAUGCUUCUUGUUGGUUGAUUUUGCUCAUUUCCCGUGGAUGCAUUGAUUGCCUCAGAGAAUGUUGACAGUAGUGUUGAAUACUGUUGGAUUACGAUGCUUUGAAAUUUAAUCUGUUUAACUUUGCAAUGUUAUGAGAGUUAGAUGCUUGAACUCCAUUUUAAUAUUUUAUUUGUGUUAUUUAUUUGUCUAGUUGUAUGUUGAAUGGCUGUGUGAAAUUUGGGUAGUGGGUAGUUUAUUGGGUUAGGCUGGGCUGUCAGUGUAGAGAAAGGUUGGGUGGGAUGAGCCGGGAAUGGGAUAUUUUAUUAAUUAUGCAUCUAGUGGUACAAAUUAUUUCUAAUGAGUGCCUUGUGGUAUUAAUAGUAUGGAUUUCUUGGGAUAUAGGCUACUUGUGCUUGUUCAUUUUGUGUUUCUCGUCUUGUUAGGAAUGCUAAUGACUUGUGUUUAAGCUCACUUUGUCAUUUGCACUCUCUCCCUUUUUAUGGUUUAUUGGAGGUAUGAACAAUGGCUCUCUUUUUGCAGUGGGGAUGAAGAGUACCUGUAUGUCAAUGACUUGGGUAUCAGAACCGGAGACUCCUUCCGCUUCUAUGUUUCAGAUUCUGAUGCUACCUUGAGUUCAAAUACCAAUGUUACUGAGUACUUCAGACGUCUGAAGCAUGAAUACGACCACAUGUCCAAUCAACAAGACAGUGGAAGUGUUGCUAAUACCAAUAAGAAGUCAGUCUUUGGUGGUUUGAUAUUUGCUUGCUGUGGUCGUGGUACAUCAUUUUUUGGACGUUGUAAUGUGGAUAGCGCACCUUUCUUGGAGAAUUUUCCUGGGGCUACUCUUGGAGGAACUUUUUGCUCUGGGGAGAUCAAACUUGCGAAUAAGAGCAUAUAUGGACAAGAACAAGAAUCUGAAGAUCAGGGUUAUGUGCGCUGCACACUCCAUUUUUUCAGUACUACAUACCUAGUUUUGUCCUACAUUCCUGCAUAGCUUCAGGAUUGGUAUUAUUGUGUAAGCCUGAGAUAGGGCAAAUACGCUCGGCUGCCUUGACCAGUUCCUUUCUCACUAUCUUCCAUUGAUGCUUAAAAGAGCUGUCGAGGAAAUGUUUGGAUGAGGAGGAGUGCUAAAAGAACUUAUCUGUUGUACAUUGGACAUGUUUCGAUGUGGUGAACAAAAUAUAUAGGUUUAUGGGUUAUCAUUGAAAUUCUUCUCAAUUGCAACCUACGAAGAAUACAAAUGCAGCAGCAUGAAGGACACGAAUGGAGUAGAAAAUAGAAAUUCUCAAGAUGGCACACACGGACAUGGACAGCUCAAAUCAGCAGAGCUAAAGCACGAUCCACUUGCGUCUAAAAAUCAGGUUAUGCAAAGCGUCACUUGGAUUGAGAUCACUGACAAUUCCCAUAGCUUCAAGUUUAUGGAGGGGAAGGAAUGAUGAUGAUGAGGGAUCAGAGAAUGAUGCUGUAGCGGAAGCGUGAAAAUAGGAUUUAUUUAAGAGCUAAGUUCAUACCAUACAAAAUAAUAAGGGUUGAUUCAUGAUCAAACCCUAAGGCACAAAUUAAAGAUUCAAAAAAAUGAGAAAAAAAACUCUCAACAAUUGAUAAAAACCAACCAAGUUUGGUAUAAUAAUUGAUAAAGACUAAUUAUAAAAAAAAAAAAAAACCCUUGAUAUUCAUAUUUAUAGGCUAAACAGUCCUACACUGGAAAGGAAAUAAAAACACAAGAAAAAAAUCCUAGAUAAACUAAACUUGCGCCAAGCAAUCGCAAAAGAUCAGACAGAAGUCCGGCCUAAAGUCCAGCUUAAAGUCUGGCAUCAGAUUUCAUUGGAACCAACCUCAGGACUAGACCUGCAGGCAGAUCCGUGAGGCUUUACCGAAGGAUCCGUCUCCAGAUCCCCGGUAAACAGGCCUUCGAACAUUUUUCUUUUGCCACCAGGUCGCGUGUUUCAAUUACAACCAACAACAAUAAUAAAAUUAUCAAUUAAAACUAUGAAUAAAACUAUGGAUAAAACUAUAAAAUUUAUCCUAAAUCAGAACCCUAAAUAAUUUCUCGAGAUACAAACGACUCAUGUUCUGUAUCAGAGAAUAUGGGAGGAAGCAGUAGUUUAGCAAAGGUAAGAACACGCACGUUGGUGGUGAUUAUGGAGAGAGAAUCACCUUUUUUUUCUAUUGUUAUGAAUUUUUUUUUGCUCAUUGUCAAAUAUUUAUUGAAAUGUCUGUAUCAACAUUGUAGACAAGGAGAGCCUCAUACUCUAUGUUGGAAACUGCAGGAAACAAUAGAUUCUUGAGCCAAAUUGUACGAAUCUGUGCUUAUAACUUGUUGAUAUGGUGAAAUAUUGUCCUCUUAAGGAGGAAAAAGUCUUCCAAAAGCAAUAUGCAUCUGUGUUUAUACAGUGUUAGGAAAACACAGACAUUUCAGUCUGUAGUUCCAUCGAAGUUCGCAUGAGUCCUGUGAUCAAUCAUAAGUUUAUAAUGUGGACUAUCAGCAGGCAUCUUCUCAAUCAAAUUCAAACUCACUUCAGAAUCCCAGGCUAAUUUAUUGGAAAGUCUAAUAGAAAUUUUAUUAGGCACCAAAAAGAAAAAAAAAAAUUAGCCAAGCGAAGAGUCAUCGAGGUACAUUAAUUUCUAUAUUUCUAUAUGAGAUGAAGAUAUGAUCAAUUGCUUUCAUUUUUUUUAUUUCUUAAUUACAGGAGAAGAUUCUUAAUAUCACUAUUAUCAAUUGUACCCUUAACAUUAUCUUUUAGUCACUUCACUCCCAUCGAUAAUUCAACUCAACAUGUCAACAAAUUUGGACAAACAUAUCCUUUUAUUUUAUAGCAGUAAUACGGUUUAAGGGGGUAAAGUGAUAAUUAAUUAAUGCCUUAGUCAAGAUACAUUAAUUUCCAAGGAAGAAGCCAAUAAGUAUCAAAGUCCAAUGUGUGAUCACAUGAUAAGUGAAUAAGCACACUCGCAAUGACUAUAAUUUUAUUCCUUGAGAGUUGAGAAUUUGGAAGAGAAGUCCUACCUGCCAUUAAUCAUUUUUCUUCAAUUUCAUCAACACAUUUGGUUGAGCGCAAAAAACACUUUUAGUUUUGAAUUUCACAAAAUAAAAGAUACAAUGUAGAUGUGGCUGUCCUUUUAGAAUUAUUCAAUAUGAUCAAACGGCUCGAGCAUUGAUCUAAGAAAAGUUGCCUUGGAAAAUUCAAAAGGAACCAAAUCAAAAUACUAAUUACCAAACACACAAAAUAUUGCUGAACUUAAAAAAGACUUCAAUUUGGGGACCUUGAGGACACAUACUGCACUGGUCAGCCAAGAGCUAACCCUUUUUGGUGGAAGUAUCUAUGAAAACGUUGCCUAAAGGAAGAAGGAUGCCAAGGAAUCUGGGAUGAGAAAGGCUGAAAUGGUUGCCAAUUCACAAGUUCAUUAUACUGCCACUUCAAUUUUAAGUUUCACACUUCAUAUAUCACAUUAUUGGCCUUAGUUGGCUCAAUUAUUUUGAAUGCACUUGUUUAUAUGGCUAAUUUUUUGUAUUUAUGGUAGGAGCUUAUGAUAUUAUGCUCCACUCUCAUAAACCUCAAAAUAGUCUUGGGUGCGAUUUUAAUCGAUACUGAAAACCUUGCUGUAAACUACCAGUCGAAACACUAUUGUUAAGAAGUCGCGUGUCAAUGAUAGAUCCACUUUGAAUUGAUCUUAGAUAAAUUAAAAUGCUAGGACUCACGUACUAAUCAGAUCUGUGUAUAGUCAAUAUAAUCAUGGAUUUUACAUGCUACCAAUUUUAGUAAUAUCAGAGUGAUUUUAGUUACUAAAAGAGGUCCAAAAAAAUGAUUAACCAUACACAUUUUUUAUCCAUACUCAAUCUUUAAUUCCCUAUCACCCGUUAAGGAUGCUUGUCUUUUUGCCUUAGCAUUAUUUCCUCAGGGAAGAGGCACUUGCUUACUUGAAGCUAUCCUCUAAGAUGGUGAGAAGGCUGUUGGAAAUCUUAAUUGCAAAUCUUAGAGUGACCCUUGAUGACUCAAGACUCGGAAAUCCAGCGGAAAUCCAGCGCCACUCUGAUAUGGGCACCUUGACUGUGCUUUUGCAAGAUAAUGCUGGGGAUUUAUAUAUAAAGGUUGAAGAAUAUAAACUUGAUAGCAGAAAAGAAGAGUGGAUAGAGAUUCCACCAAUCCCAAGUGCUUUAGUUAUUAAUGUUGGGGAUUCAUUAGAGGUUAGUUCGUACUCAAUGACCAUAUUUAUUGUUUCUUUGAGCGAGUGAAGUUAAUACAAUUCACAAAAAGUUCUGUUGCCCAAUUACCUAAUUAGGUUAAGUUGGCUGUUUGUCUGGAUCAACUGAUCAGAUAUGCUAUCACAAUGAACUAUUUUAUUACUCAUAUGUUUGCAUUAGGUUAAGUUGGCUGUUUGCCUGGAUCAACUGAACACGUAUGUUUGCACAAUUAACUAUUUUAGUAUUACUCUUAUGUUUGCUUGUUAUUAUGAUAUAAAUUUCAUUAAAAUGUAAAAAACUGAAAUUUUUAUUUAGGCACUGCUUGUUUUUAGGGAGUUGGAGGGGAGGGAAGGGAAGGGAAAGAAAAUGGAGGAAUAAGGUCUUUGAUGUUUGGAUUGAUUUUUGAGGAGGGAAAGGAAAGGAUUGAGAGGAAAAUGAGGGAUAAAGUUUAGUUAUUUUUUUCAUUCUGCUUUUCAUUCAAAAGUGGGUGGAAACGGAGGGAAAUGAUACCAAGAUUUAUGAAAAUUUUAAAUAUUCCUAAAAAACCUAUUAUGUGUUUACAAAUUAGACUUUUUAAAUAGAGGUGUAAAGUGGGUUUUUCGAAUCAGAUUUUAGCCAAUAUUUUUUAAAAUUGAACCGGACCGGUCAGUUCGAUCGGUCAGACCUUGAACCGGUCAUAGUUUCGGUCCGAUUCAUAUCUCGAGUUGAUUGGACUUAAAAACCGUGAACCAUACGAACCAGAUGAAUCGUUGAACUAGGGGUUUUUUUUUUGUUUGUCUAUUAAAUUGAAAAAAAAAAGAAUAGGUUUUUUUUAACCCUAAAGACUAAUUAUUAAAUGCCACAUCCACUUACUUUCUUCUUAUUUUUUGCCUCUUAUCAAGUUUGCAUCUAUAUUUUCUAUUUUCUUGACUUUCUCCAAACUUCAAACUUCUUUUUUUUUUAAGGUGCAAUCUUUAAAUCCCAAAAAUAUGAAUUAAAAAUUUAAACUCACAAUAUCUAAUUCCCAUGGACGUGAAUUUUGUAUGGUAUUUUUGUGUUGGAUUUAAGAUUUUUUUUGGUAGAUACAAUUGAGAAUGAGAUGAAAUUUAUUUGUUUCAAUUUAUAAUUUAUAAUUUUUAUUUGUGAAAAUCCAAAUUCUUUGAAAAUAUUAAACUUUUCAUCAUAUAUAGUCUUAAAUUAUUCCAUUGUAUGUCUUAUUUUGUGCAUAUAUAUUUAUAUAAAUUAUUUUUUAAAAAUUCAUUGAACCAGGGUUGAACCGAUCUGACCAGUUGAACCACGACCCAAACACCAUACUGGUUCAAUUAACGGUUCAAGUUUCAAUACAUUGAUUUUAACACAUUCAAACUCGACUCACAAAUUAUAUGGCUUUUUAAGAUUCGGGUUUUUGAGUUUCAAGCUUAUAUUGAAAAGAUUCAAUAUCAAUUCAUACUACUAUAUUAGCCCAAACUCAUAAUUAAAUAAAUAAUAAUUAUAUAUAAUAUAUAUUUUAUAGUUAUGAAUUAACACAAAUAUAUAUAAAUCAUUAACAUUUUAUAUCGUAAUAUGUAUAAUUAUAAAUUAUAUAUAUUAUUAUAUUAUAUAUACUUAUGCGUAUAUAGGCCAAAUUUUAAUCGGGUCUGAACCUAAUAUGGUCCAAACUCGACGCACAUUUAUUUUGAGCCUAAUAUUUAGGCCCAACCUUUGCCUGACACAAUUAAAGAUUAGGCUCAAUGAGCUUUUUUUGUGCCAGACCAACGGCCAAAUGGGCUGAGUUUGGAUUGAUCUAAUCCCAUUGACAAUUUACUUUUGUAAUGCAAAAAAGAUGGAUGAAUUUAAAUUUCUUCUUCUUUUCUUUUUUUCUUUUUCACUAGAGUCCCGUCCUUUUCUUUCCUUCCUUUUCCUUCAAUCGAAACGGCGCCUUAGUUAUUUAUUUAUUUGCUUGAUCAAAACCAGACCCAUAAUUUAUUUAUUUGCUUAAUUUGCCUUAGUUGUUUAUUUCCUCCUUUUUACCUUCUUAUUUUUUGCUGCACCUUAGAUCCUAAGCAAUAGAAGGUACAAAAGUGCUGAGCACAGAGUGCGUACCUCAAGCAAACAAUCAAGAGUUUCUAUUCCAGUUUUCACUGCUCCAAGGCCGACCGAGAAGUUAGGUCCGCUGCCUCAUUUGGCAGAGCUCGGUGGUGGAGCUCUCUACCGAGAAGUUAUAUUUCAAGAGUACAUGGACAAUUUUUUCGGACAUACUCCUGAAGGAAAGAAACGCUUGAUCUUGUCAAAAUAAAAGCUGUCGCGCCCCAUUUUUUGAUAAAUAAAUAAAAUCAAAAUACAUUUUUAAACCAUUUUAUUUAUUUAUCAAAAAAUGGGGCGCGACAGUUGGCGACUCCACUGGGGACAUUCGAGAGUCCGAGCAAAUUUGAUUUAAUCAAUCUUUUUCUUCUUUUAACUUUUUCAUAUAUUACAUUUGGGUGUUUUAGGGUUGCAUUUUUCCUUUUCUUAGGAUUUUUGCAUUUCGCGUGUAUCAAACUACUCCCUCACUCACGUAUGUAUGAUUGGUUGAUUGGAUAUAUGUUUACUUAUUUAUCUCGCGCUUUGCAUUGCAUUUGGGUGGGGGACAUACCCUAGAGUCUCGCGUUGGUUCUUGAUCCCUCCCCUCCAAACGAGCACUAGCAUACGUGCAUACGCUUUAACUUUUCACCCCUCGUUUAUUUUUAUUUUAGUGGCUCGUCACGCCACUCCACCCUAUUAGGAUUUUAGGUGACUCACUUGGACAUGUGAUCACGACACGAUGUGUGUGUAGCAUGUUCCAAUGGGUCACUCAAUCUUCCGCUUAAAGCUAUUGGUUGAUAGCCUUUAGCUUUUAGUCGAAGGUUGGGGAUUUUGAUAGAUUCACUCAAACACGUAGCCGUGACACGAUGUGUGCGUAGCGGUGUUUGGGGAAUCGCUCGAGCCACCGACGAAGAACCUUGGGAUUGAUGACCCUUGGUUUCUAAGUCUGAAGGCUCGGGGACCUAUGACCUAUCGAGUCUAGAUGCAUUAGCGAAUCCCAACCUCAUGCAUCCAUAUUAAAAUUGCCUAGGGUAGAAGUCGGCCUUAUCCUGAGCUAGGGACACUGUUCACGAGGGGAGGGGUCCAACCCCUUUCUCCCUUUUAUUGUUUUAUUUCUUUGUAUUGAUUUCGUUGUUACAAUGUGUUAUGUGUAUUUAUUCGACUGAACUAACUUUUUCUUGGUUUUGUGUCCCCAUUGCAUUCACAAACCCUAGCAAAUAAGAGGUCUGGCAUGACCUUCUUUUAGAACCUACCCUUGUAGAUAGAUUAUUGCACAUUUAAAGAUUUUUGUAUAUUGCAUUCAUAGAUUAAUAAUUGCAUAGCAUUAUAAGCCUACCCUGGCAGAUAAAGGGUUCCUUAGGUCACGUUUCAUUUCGAAUUGCACAUUUUACCGCUUUAAUAAAUGGCAUCAUGCAUAAACCCUAGAAAGGGAAUGCCACUUAGGGGAUCCCGUGUUAGGAAUAAGCCACCUUGUGUCUCGGAUACUUAAUCCAGUGAGACUUGCACGUUUACAUUUUGUACCAUCCAAAGGGGUAGUGCACAAGGUAAGGUAGGAUCCGAUCAUUUUUCAUAGAGUGAUCUUUGGAAUAUGAGCAUCUAAUAAUCACUUUUUGGCCAUUUUAUCAAAAAUUGGUAAAAAUCCCUUGCGUGAAGGACAUUAAUUUGAAGAAAUUCACAAAUGAUUUCUCCUAUUGAGACGAUAAAUAAAUUGAGGCCAAAAUUUGAUUUUUAGAAGGUCAUAGACUAAUGCACUUCAAUAAUUUUGAAAUAACCAAUGGCCGGACAAUUCAACCAAUCCAUUUUACCGAUUCAUUCGAUAAAUUAUCAAUUUGACCAAUUUGCCCUUUUUUAGGGUCAUUUGACCAAUUUACCCUUUUUAGGGUCACCUGAUCGAUUUUGAAUAAAUCGUCAAUUCAUUUGACCAAUUUACCUUUUUUAGAGUCAUUUGACCAAUUUACCCUUUUUAGGGUCACUUGGUCGAUUUUGAAUAAAUCGUCAAUUCAUUUGACCAAUUUACCUUUUUUAGAGUCAUUUGACCAAUUUACCCUUUUUAGGGUCACUUGGUCGAUUUUGAAUAAAUUGUCAAUUCAUUUGACCAAUUUACCCUUUUUAGGGUGAUCUGAUUAAUUUUGGAUAAGUUAAAUUUCAUUCAAUUCAUUUGACCCGUUUCCCUUUUUAGGGUAAUCCGAUCGAUUUUAAAUAAAUGGUCAAUUUCAUUCAACCCAUUUGACUAAUCAGGGUUUCAAUUUCAAAUUGGGAAACCUAGUCGGUUUUAAGAAAACCGUCCACUGCAUCCAGCCAUUUGAUCAGUUGGGGUUUUGACCCGCGCUUUACUGAGGAAAUUUUGUCAAACGAAUUCCGGUCUCUUCGAUAGGAAGUUUGUCAAGGUCAAACCUGUGCGUUUUUACAAAUUCUUGUAUCGAUCAAAAGUGAUCAAUCCAUUCGGACGUUGACCUCAUUUUGACAAAGUGUCUCUCGUCACUCCAAUUGGCCAAAAUUUUCAAAUUAUUUUUCACUCCAUAAGCUGAUUGGAUCCAUCAGGUAUGGUAUAGUGCCUACUCUAGAGGGUUGCAUCCUCAUUCUAGGCCUACCCUUGGCGCAAAAAGGGUUCCCCCAUAGGACAUGCAUCCGAAUUUUCUGGAUAUUUACUAACUCUUGCCUUUUUCUUUUCUUUUUCUUUAUUUCUUUUGUAAUAACUAAGCGAGGGUUAAAUCUAAAAGCAAUCUUUUCAAAAUUCUCAGGUAAUAUUUAAACAUAACUUCUCGUCGAAACCCCAUCAUAACGCGAUCCCGUAGUCAAGUCCAAAGGAAUCGUGUAAACAUGAGUUCACAACCAGAACAGUCAGAUAGGUCUGCUACUACCGCUCAACCCGAGACUGCAAGUUUGGGGAUUCAGUUGACUGAGAUGCUUACCAAGUUUGGAGAGAUGGCGUCUGAGAUGGCCGCCCAAAGGAAGUUGAAUGAUGAGCUAAUUAGCAGCGGAGUUCAACCCGAACCUGUACCCGCCAGACAGCCUGAGCAAGAGCCAUUUGUCCUACCUUCGGCCCAUGUCACUGUUAUUCCAUCAUUUCCUAUUGCACCCGAAGAAACUUUCACCUAUCCCACCACAAAUUUGUCAUACACUUACCCUUCUCAUCCUUCAUCUUUUCUUACUUACAUGCGAGGUCCACAACCCCAAAUCACUUCAAAUAUACCACCUGAGCCACAUACCUUUUAUUACCCUGCUGCUGAGCCAUUCCUGCCGGACCAUACUUUUCAAACCAAGCCAGAAAUGGGGGAAUCUUCCGCUCCCGUUGAUAUGAAGUUGCUUAAGCGCCUUGAUCGUUUUGAUGAAUUUAUAAAGAAGAGUCAGGGGCUGAACAAGCAAGGAGUCCUGGAUUACGAUGAGAUUUGCCUUUUCCCGAAUGUGCAAUUGCCUGAGGGGUUCAAAACUCCGAAGUUUAACAAGUAUGAUGGGACGGGCAAUCCCAAGACACACCUCCGACUGUUCGCCAACAAGUUGGGUAGGCCAACAGAUGAUGAAAAUCUGCCUUUGAGGCUAUUCCCAGAAAGUCUGGAGGGGAUGCACUCGACUGGUAUUCCAAGCUGAAACCCGAAGAAGCAAAGACCUGGCUGGACUUGUCCAACGCUUUUGUAAGGCAGUACGAGUAUAAUUGUGAGCUGGCUCCAACACGAACCACGUUGGAAGGGACAAAGAGGAAGCCAUCUGAAGAUCACAAGACUUAUGCCAAGAGGUGGAGGAAAAUAGCUGCAAAAGUCGAGCCACCAAUGACGGAAGACGAAAUCAUACGUACUUUCAUUAAGGCACAUGAUCCGCCGUACUUUGAAGAAAUUUUUCGCAUGACUGGAUGCUCAUUUGCCGCAAUUGUUAAUAAGCUUGAGGAAUUUGAUGAUUUCGUGAAGACUGGAAAAAUUGUUAAUGUGUCUGCCCUAAAAACUCAAGUGGAAGCUUUGCAAAGCCAAGGAGGUAAUGGGAAGAAGCAACAAUUCAAAAGGCAAGAGGGGGAAACUACCUUCACCUGGAGUCAAAACCCUGUCCCAAGACCCAGAUCUCGACAAUACCCUACCUACUCAAACCCUUACCCCUACUACUCAAAUCCUCGUCCUGUUUACCACACCAAUAUCACUCAUCCUCGACCUCGCCCAAAUUAUGCCAACCCACCUACAACCCUUUUCCAAAUAUCUCAACCAAGCUUUCAACAAGCUCGUCCUCGGCCUCCUUACCACCAAAGAUUUUCCCUACCAAAUAGACCCACCUACAACUAUCCCCGACCCACUGAAACCUACAAUCAAAGCCGUACCCGAACCUUCGCCAACCUAGGCAGGCAUUUGGACCAAUUGUAUGAGCAAUUGAAGGCUGCCAACAAAAUAGGCGUGAUUCCCCCUCCAACUUACCUUCAUGGCAUGCCUGCUGGGUACAAUCCACAUGCUAUUUGUGCCUAUCAUUCGGGAGUACCUGGCCACUCAACCGCCGAUUGCAGGGCACUUAAGCACAAAGUCCAAGACAUGAUCGAGGCUGAGGAAAUAGUGCUAAAGGGAAAGGGUGGACAAGGACCAAGUAUAAGUACAAAUCCCUUUCCUAAACACAAGGACACCUUUGAGGCAUCCACUUCCAAUGACGAAAUUUGAAAAUCCUAAAGGAGCUUUGCACAAGUUGGAUGGCUGACUAUCUUCCCCCUCGAAGAUAAUUUCGAUAAAUCUAGGGGUUGUCAUUUGCUAAAGUUUACAAAGACUUUUUCUUGCAUGUGUGAAUAGCUUAAUGAAAGCGCCUUUUGCAAAUUGAGUUUUGUCUUGUUUUCGCUUUGAUUUGGAGUUUCAUGAAAUGCACAAUUGGUUUUAUUUGUUUAUUUGAUCAUUGUCAUGAAGUUUUUUUAAUUCUUUUAGAUGGCCAAAGAUGAAAUUAUUUGAUCCUUUGAAUAUCACUGUUCUGGAAUCUGAUGAAGCCCUUCAUUGAAAAACCUCUUCUUUGAGAGAAAACCUUCAUUGAGAAAACCUUCAUUGAGAAAGCCUUCAUUGAGAAAACCCUUCAUUGAGAAAUUCUUCAUUGAAAAAUCCCUUUCCUGCCAGGUUGGAAGCUGAUGAGUUAAAGCAGCGUCAUCAACGAUUGAUUUGAUGAGAAAUAGUUGAAUGCUAUGUGCCAUGGCCAAAUGUUGCCAAGACCCAUGGCCUGUGUUCAUAACAAAAAGGUCCGCCACCGAUCCUUUGAAGGAGGGAACAAAGUGCUAAAGUGAUUUUGCUAACGAAAGAUGAAGCCAAAGGCAAAAAUUGCUUCAAAUUAGCAAAGCUCAUUGGGUGUUCAAAAGGUAUUACCUGGCGGGGCAUUCAUGGAUAGACAGAUAUUCUCUCAACCUAUCAACUCAGACAUGUGUAAGAAAUUCUUUAUCUUGGUUAUGCAAAUUUCUUUUGGAAAUUAUGCAAGGGGCGAAACAAAAGUCAGGCCAUCUUCUUUUCCAAUCAAAACAUUUCAUCCCUAGUCAUCCCUUUGAGCCAUUAGAAUUGACAAAUUUCGUUUGAUAACCCUUGAGAAUUGCAAACCCCACACUGGGGCAAAUUUGUUUCGAAAAAAAAAAAAAAAAGAAAAAAAGAAAACCCUACACUGGGGCAAAUUUAGUUUUCAAAGAAAAAUGCAAAAAGUGAGGAAAAUACAAUGAAAAAUGCAAAGAGAGAAAAUCUGAUCAAACUGGGGCAAAUUUUCCUCAGUUUCGGAGUUGUUUUCAAAAGGGUGCAAUCUCACGUUAUUGCACCCCUCGUAUCAAAUCUGCUUUCAAGCCUCAACCUUUCUUGAAAAACACCCCACCGGACCUCAUUAUAAAAGCCCAAAGUCCUGGUUUUCGUCACUUGCUGCAUUUCUAUUAGGAAAUUUGUUAAUCAACUGGCAGGUGAUGUCUAUAAUGUCUUCGCCUAAUCUCACAAGGGAAGUACAUUCUACUGAUGCCAGAAAUCUUUAACUCAUACUCCUGAGGCGAUUAUGGUUGAGCUCUUCCAUUGCUUCCUUAGGAAAAAACCCGAAAGGGCACCUCAAAAGAAAAAAAGAAAAAAAAAAAAGAAAAAAAGAAAGAAAAGAAGAAAAAAGAAAGAGAAAAGACAAAACGAAACAAAAAAGGGGGGGCAACCUUGGUAAAAACCCGAAAGGGCACCAAGGUAGGAUUUUGCAGCAAGCGAGCACGAGGAAGAACAGCUGGUGAUUUGGUUCAUUUGGAUUUCUUCUCAUUUUGUCAUACUUCUGUCAAUUUUUAAUUCCAGAACAAAGAUAUCCAGAGAAUUGAAUAUGACAUUUGUUGGCCAAAACUGUGUCAUUUUGUAAAACAUUCUUUUGCAAAUACAUUCUUAGGAAGCUCAUUUUUCCAAAUUACUUGCAUUCAUGGCAUUUUUGUAGAAUUUAAGCACAAAUGGUUAUGUGUGCAUUCUUGUGCAUAUUUAUUCUUACAUGACAUGUGAAUUUUCUUGCAUACUUCAUUCUUUAUCUUUGAAUUUUGGUGAAUAACAAUCUCCGUGGUUUAUUCGAAGCAUACUUGGGUUCAGUCAUCUCUUGAAAAGGGUUAAGGUUCAACAAAGUCAGUUACGCAGACUUCACAAUAUGGCAAAGCAUAUACCUGAUCAGUUUGUAAAUUGGAAAGGCCUUAGGGUGAAAAAUCCAACUCAAUCGACUGCCGCAGCAAAAGUUGAUAAAGGCCUUGAAAGACUCAUGUUUACACGAUUCUCAAAGGAAAACGGAUCAAAUGAUGGUGGCAAUUUCUUUGUUUUUUCUCUCUUUUGCAGGAAAUUGCAUACACAGAUGAAAGUAAGCACACCUCGCACUGGAAUCGGUGUCGGAAAGAGUCCUCCGGUGAACAAAGGCAGAUUGAAAAUGUCGCAAGCAAAUUUCAUCAAAAAAUGCAACAGCAUGGCGAUACAGAAUCAACUCUGGACUCACAUUGCAAAAAAUUCAUCAUACUGGGGCAAAUUAAUUUUUUGGAAAGAUUUUCAAAAGUCAAAAGAAGAGCAAAGGAAAAAAUCAUCAAUCAAAAAUCAACACAAAUUUUAUCACGGCAGGCUCGAGUUUAAUCCCACUGACCGAUUGUCAAAAGCAUUUUCGGGUCAGUCCCAUGAUCAAAAAUUUUCGGGUCAGUCCCAUGAUCAAAGCUUAUUCGGGUCAGUCCCAUGAUCAAAAGCAUUUUCGGGUCAGUCCCACGAUCAAAAUUAUUCGGGUCAGUCCCAUGAUCAAAAGCAUUUUCGGGUCAGUCCCAUGAUCAAAAGCAUUUUCGGGUCAGUCCCACGAUCAAAAGCAUUUUCGGGUCAGUCCCAUGAUCAAAAGCUUAUUCGGGUCAGUCCCACGAUCAAAGCAUUUUCGGGUCAGUCCCAUGAUCAAAAGCAUUUUCGGGUCAGUCCCAUGAUCAAAAAUUUUCGGGUCAGUCCCAUGAUCAAAAUCUUAUUCGGGUCAGUCCCACGAUCAAGAGCUUUUCGGGUCAGUCCCAUGAUCAAAAGCAUUUUCGGGUCAGUCCCAUGAUCAAAAUCUUAUUCGGGUCAGUCCCACGAUCAAAAGCUUAUUCGGGUCAGUCCCAUGAUCAAAAGCAUUUUCGGGUCAGUCCCACGAUCAAAAGCUUUUCGGGUCAGUCCCAUGAUCAAAAGCUUAUUCGGGUCAGUCCCACGAUUCAAAGCUUAUGCGGGCCAGUCCCAUGAUUUAAAUUUCCUUCUCUAGUCAGUCCCAAUUUUAAUUUCCUGUCCGGUCAGUCCCGUUUAAAUUUCUGUUCGGGUCAGUCCCGUUUAAAUUCUUGUUCGGGUCAGUCCCGCUUUAAAUUUUUUGUCUCAGUCAAUUCCUUGUUAAAUUUUUCUUUCAAAAGAGGUCAGUCCUCAUUUUCAAAAAAUGGCAGUCGUUCGAGUCGUUCGUGACCGAAUGACACAGGUAAGUGUUUGGUGUCUACUUCUUUGUCUCAAGUUUUUCCAAAACUCAGACAAAGAGGGGCAAACUGUAGACACCAAAUUUUGGUACGAUUUAUUUAUUUUUGUUCAUGCUAGUUUAUCUUAGUUAUUCUUUUUAUUUUCUUUAGUCGUUUACUUGUUUUAUUUUUUUUAGUCUUUUUAAUGUAGAAUUUCAAAAAAAAAAAAAAAGAAAAAAAGAAAAUAUGUUUUAGUUGUUUUAAAAUUCAAUUUUUGUCUUGGAAAAAAAAAGGAAAGGGAAGAAAAUUGUUCACAAAAUAUGUUUAUUUCUUUUUAAAUUCAAUCUUUUGACUUUAUUUAUUUUUUUGGUUAGGUUAUUUCGAAAAACAAAAGAAAAGGAAAAAAUGAAAAUGAAAAAUGGAAAUUUGUUUUUUUUUGUUGUUGUUUUUAAUUUAUUUUUAUCUAAUGUUAAUUAAGUUAUUUUCAUCAUUAAUUAUUAUUGUUUUAUUAUUAUCAUUUUUGUUGUUUAAUUAACUAAUUAAUUAAAUUUUUUUUUUAAAAAAAAAAAAAAAACCGCAACUUCCUUUCUGCUCUGCACAAACCAUAAACCGAAACUUCCUUUCUGCUCUGCACAAAUAACUCCCGGGACAGCAGCUUCAGCACCGCACAAUGCAGCCAAUCAAAAUUCAAUACCAACUCAACACUCAACCGACCUCUACAUUCAAACAUCUCCAUAACCACGGCACCUACUUCAUUGAUUCCACUAUCAGAUUCCUAACCACAACCAAAUCUUUUACCUCGUGAUCAUCGACUGAGAUAGGAGAGAGUGAGCUGCAUUCGGCAAACCAACCAAGAGCAAGAGGGAAAGAGAAAUAGAGGGGCGGCGGCAUGAGAUAGCUACGGAAAAACUGAAAAAAAGCUGAGUUAGAAGGAAAAGAGGGAGCCUCGGACGGAAGCUGCAGGCAAAAUGAGGGAGCGAGAGUGAUGGCUACGGCUGAAGGAAAAGCAGGGGAGGAGGAAAGGAAUCGCCACUGGCCAUUAGCUCCAGAAUUUCCCAUCUCCAUCCGCGAAUUUUCACUGAAUAGAGGCACUGUAAGUUUCGUUUCUCUCCAAAUUUCUCAAGUUCUUGUCCAGUUUUUUUAAAUGUAACCGCCGUGGCUUGCUCUAGUGUAAUUUUUCUGCUACUUGGCCUCAAUUUUUUGAAUAUACAUACUGCGUAUGAUGAUUGGAGUUGAAGUUCUUUGUUCUUAAAUAAUUUUGGGGUUGGUUGCUAUCUUGAUUGCUCACAGAUUUGCUAAAAAUUUUUAUGCUCAUGUAUUGUUUGCUAAAAUGCCCAAACCAAAGUCUUGAAUCAAAAAAGGAAAGAUUUUGGGUGUUCUUCUAUAUCCGUGAGAGAGGAAUGCCAGCCGGUCCAAAGUUAGCUAGAAUCUGCCCGUUUGUUAAUUGGGGAAAGGAAAAGAAAUAAAGGAAUUUUGGAAUCAAUUCUUGUCAUUUUCAAUGUUUUGGUGUCGGAUGAUGUAGUGUGUUUUGCCGCGUGAAAUUAAUGGAUUUUGAAGCAUCAGAAGUUGCAGAAACGUUCUCACGUUCAUUUGCAUAAGAAGAAGAAAUGUUUCUGUGAAGCCUGAAUGAAUAAGUUUCUGAAAAUUUUGCAAUUGGCCCUGGACCUUUGGUGAAAUCACAUUAAAGCCUGCAUGACUUCCAAAUUUUAUUCAAUUAAGUCCCUAUUUUGUUGUGAUUGAACCCCAAAUUUCCCCCUUAUUCUGAUAUGGCCUAAAUCUGGAAAAAUUAGACUGAUUUCAUCCUUUUAAGUUUAAUCUUGCGCGUUUGCAUAAUUCUAUGAGACUUUUUGGAUAGAUUAAUGCUUGAUUUUUAGGUCAUAAUGGUGGCUUAAUAAUUUUUUUGUAGAUUUUAUCAUGUUGGGUUUUAGUGAAAUAGGGGAUUUGGGCUAAGAAGUUGUUUUUGAUUGGGUUUUAAAAAUGGUUUUAGUUUAUUAUUUUGGGUUUUGGUUUGGGCUAAAGGGUAAAAGCCCACCGGUCUUGUUACUUAAUUUUGGGGUCUUAAAUGAUAGAUUGGUCCAUUCCUUUUGGUCUGAAUUUCGAUUGGGCUAGGGAAGGUUCUGGCCCAAAUAAGAUGCAAAACUGGCCUACUGGCCUGACCCAUUAGCAAUCAGAAACCAAAGUUGCAAAUCAGUCCCUGAAUUUCUCCUUAACUGUACUGUGGCCCUGGACAUUUUCAAUCUUUUUCAAUUGGGUCCCUAAUUUAAUUGCGAAUAGGCCCCUGUACUUUAUUUUUCUUUAAUUUUGACCCCAAAACUUUGGUAAUGUUUGCAAUCAAGUCUCUUUUUCUUUUGACUUCUUGAAUGUGGGUUGAUUAUAUGAUUUAAUUGAUUCAAUUUCCUGUUUAUUUUUAUCUUUUGUGAUUAUCUUUUAUUUAAAGUGGUACCUUGAUAUUUCUUUUAUUUUGGAGGAUGAAUAAGUGAUUUCACUCCAUUUAAGGCAUCAACUUAAGGGAGGUAUAACUUCUUUUAUCUUUUUUUGUUUCUCUCAUGUGACUCAACGUGCUAAGUGAAUUGCAUGUCUACUUUGCUUUUCUAGUUUUUCUUUAAUUCCUUUUACUUAUGUCAUUUACUUUUUGUUUUCAUUAAGUUAUUCUUUUAAUGGGGUAUGUGUACACCUCUUGGCUUGUAAUAGAUAGGGCUGUGGCGAGCAAUUUGGUCUAUUUUCCCCUUCCCCUUUUGUUUUAGUUAGUGAAUGUAAUAGGUUCAUUAGUUUGGUUGCAUGCCUACGUGUUAAGUGUUUAAUCGCUUUAUUAGGUCCUUGCAUCUAGUCAAGCAUGCUAAGUGUUAUGUGCUACGUGUUUAUAAGUGAUUCGCAUGUCUACUCGCUUUUUAUAGUGUGGAUGAAUGGAAUGGAUGAAUGUACGUCAUCACACUAGUCCAACGCUAGUUGUGGCUUCUUUUAUCGUUUCCACUAGUCCAACGCUAGUCGGAAUUCAUAGAAUGGGUUAGUCCAACGCUAGACCCUUAGGGAUUUUCCCUCGAUAGUACAUCAUUUGCUUGUUCACCACAUAUCACGCAUUUUCCUUAGUUUUAUCAUUUGGCAUGAUCCUCAAACCCCUUUUCCUCUCAUUUUAGGUUUUGCAUCCCAUACUAGCUAUAGGGCUCAUUUUGCUUUAGUGUCCCCUUCCGAUAAGGGAAACGAGCGAGUGUGGCUACUCGAUAGCCUUAGCACGCUAGUUUUGCCUUCUAAUCAAAGGGAAAAUCGAAGUCGAAAAAGUUAGGAGUCAUUCCCACACCCGACCUGAUGCAUUCCUUUAGGUUCAUUCAUUCUCAUUUAUCACUUACUCAUUUUUUUCAAUUCACAUUUCCUCAUCACUUUUCCUUUCCUUAUUGUUCAUUUUGAUUUCUACUUCACAAAAUUGCACUUAAUUACACCUAUAUGCACUUAUCACUAUAUUUCAUACACUUGCACACAAACACUUGGACUUUUCAUACAAUUUCACACGUGCACCUUUUUAUACACUUGCACACUUGCACUUUAGCCAUCAUUUGCAUUAAUCGACCUCUAUAAGGUUUUCCUUUAUUGGCCGCCACAAUUCAUGUGGUUGGGACCAAAAACCUUACAAGAGACAUUUUAGAAUUUAGGUUUGCAUUUUUCUUUCCUUUUGCAUUCAUGUAGUGCAUCCAAAUGUAAUAAAUUCUUUGGUUAAAAUAAGAAAAACUUUGAUUAAAUCACGCAACUAGCCUUGGCUAGGUCGAAGGGGUGCCUUGGAUUUUUAUCCUUGCCUUCCCCUUCGUCAAAUGGACUCCCGAACCUUUUUUUUGGUUUACGUGGAUUAGGAGUCGUUUAAAAGGGUUUCUUGCAACUUUUUCCUAAAAAAUUCAUUUUUAGGUGACUUGGUACACCUUAACUCAUUACCAAGUGGCGACUCCCAUUUUUUUUAAAAAACCCUUUUUAAACUAUAAUUUUGGGUCAAAUCGUCGCAUUUUCAAACCCCCAUUUAGACCCAUUUUUCUUUUAAAUCACAAUUCAUUUUUCAAUCAUAAAUUAAAUCAAAAUACAUUUUUAAACCAUUUUAUUUAUUUAUCAAAAAAUGGGGCGCGACAAAAGCCAAUUAACAUGAAUCAUGGAGCUUCUUAAUUUACAGCAUAAUUAUUAGUUUAUAAUUUAGCAAAAAAAAAAAAGAAGAAAAAAAGAAAAUGCAGUUUAUCUUGAUUGUUGAAAGACAUUAAACGACCACACUUUGGUUAGGUUUUAAUGUUGUUUUGAACAAUUCUUCAUGCUAUGCUAGAUAGCUCUUUUGGGGAACUUGCUAUGAGACAAAUAAUGAAUAACUUGGCUAGCUUUGCUAGGGAGAAAUAUAGAUAUAUAUACAUAUAUAAUUUUUUGGGAGAAAAAUAGUACUGGUACUACUUUGCUUUGUACCUAUGAUAUUGCUUGAUCUAUACACAUUACCCACUAAAUAAUUAAUGGAUUUGGCAUUUCAUUUGCUGUAUAAACUACCCAUUUGCUGUAAAAUUUUGAAUGACUCAUAAAUGAGUAAUUGAAUAUACCCAUACCCAUUUAUUAAAUGGGUAUAAAUUUGUACCCAUUUAUACUCAUUUAUUUAAAUAGAUAGAAAUGGAUUGAUCAAAUUAUACUCAUUAUCAGUUAUAAUCCAUCCAAAUUCACCCGAAUCACCCAUUUUGACACGUCUAGUUCUUAAGUUCCUAUGUACCUAUGGUCAUAGUAUUAAAAGAAUUAGAUAUUGUCAAUAUGAAUAGACUAACAGAUUUCAGUAGAAGGUGCUAAUUGUUUUUUCCUUGUACACAUGCAUUUGACUGUUUCGUUAGGAAGAAAAGGAAAUAGUAGCUUUAGUUGGUUUCUGUUAGCUUGAAAGCCUAAUGCACAAAGGAACAAGUAAAACCACAAGAUAAUCUUUCAAUAUUACUUUGAAAUGAGGGUAUCCACAUUAAGGUUAAAACAAACAUGGCUUUUAACCAUGGCUGAACAACAUUUGACAGAGAUUUCUCAAACCCUGCCUAUUACCUUUACUGCAGUAAUUUCUCAAAAACCACAAUGCUUUGCUGCAUCCAGAAGGAACCUUCAAGAUAAACAGGCAACAAAGCCCAGACAUUUUUUAUGUCCUUU
rnacentral:lncRNA from 1 species